UACGUAGGUGGCAAGCGUUGUCCGGAUUUACUGGGCGUAAAGCGCGCGCAGGCGGUCCUUUAAGUCUGAUGUGAAAGCCCACGGCUCGACCGUGGAGGGUCAUUGGAAACUGGGGGACUUGAGUGCAGGAGAGAAGAGUGGAAUUCCACGUGUAGCGGUGAAAUGCGUAGAUAUCUGGAGGAACACCGGUGGCGAAGGCGGCGUCCUGGACCAAUACUGACACUGAUGAGCGAAAGCCAGGGGAGCAAACGGG
rnacentral:rRNA from 1 species